AGCAUAUCAAUAAGCGGAGGAAAAGAAACUAACAAGGAUUCCCCUAGUAACUGCGAGUGAAGCGGGAAAAGCUCAAAUUUAAAAUCUGGCGGUCCUUGCGGCUGUCCGAGUUGUAAUCUGGAGAAGUGCUUUCCGCGCUGGACCGUGUACAAGUCUCUUGGAACAGAGCGUCGUAGAGGGUGAGAAUCCCGUCUUUGACACGGACUACCAGUGCUUUGUGAUGCGCUCUCAAAGAGUCGAGUUGUUUGGGAAUGCAGCUCAAAAUGGGUGGUAAAUUCCAUCUAAAGCUAAAUAUUGGCGAGAGACCGAUAGCGAACAAGUACCGUGAGGGAAAGAUGAAAAGAACUUUGGAAAGAGAGUUAAACAGUACGUGAAAUUGCUGAAAGGGAAACGCUUGAAGUCAGUCGCGUUGGCCGGAACUCAGCCUUGCUUUUGCUUGGUGCACUUUCUGGUCGACGGGUCAGCAUCAGUUUUGAUCGUCGGAUAAUGGCCGAGGGAAUGUGGCAUCUUCGGAUGUGUUAUAGCCCUUGGUCGCAUACGAUGGUUGGGACUGAGGAUCUCAGCACACCUUUAUGGUCGGGGUUCGCCCACGUUUGUGCUUAGGAUGCUGGCAUAAUGGCUUUAAACGACCCGUCUUGAAACACGGACCAAGGAGUCUAACAUGCAUGCGAGUGUUUGGGUGGAAAACCCGAGCGCGUAAUGAAAGUGAAAGUUGAGACCUCUGUCGUGGAGGGCAUCGACGCCCGGACCAGACCUUCUGUGACGGCUCUGCGGUAGAGCAUGUAUGUUGGGACCCGAAAGAUGGUGAACUAUGCCUGAAUAGGGUGAAGCCAGAGGAAACUCUGGUGGAGGCUCGUAGCGAUUCUGACGUGCAAAUCGAUCGUCAAAUUUGGGUAUAGGGGCGAAAGACUAAUCGAACCAUCUAGUAGCUGGU
rnacentral:rRNA from 1 species